UUUAAAUGGUUGAGCUUAUCAAG
rnacentral:piRNA from 1 species